ACGAACGCUGGCGGCAGGCUUAACACAUGCAAGUCGAACGCCCCGCAAGGGGAGUGGCGCACGGGUGAGUAACACGUUGGAACAUGCCCUCUAGUACGGAACAACGUCGGGAAACUGACGCUAAUACCGUAUAAUAUCUACGGAUCAAAGAUUUAUCGCUAGAGGAGUGGCCCGCGUCUGAUUAGGUAGUUGGUGAGGUAAUGGCUCACCAAGCCCGCGAUCAGUAGCUGGUCUGAGAGGAUGAUCAGCCACACUGGGACUGAGACACGGUCCAGACUCCUACGGGAGGCAGCAGUGGGGAAUAUUGGACAAUGGGCGCAAGCCUGAUCCAGCCAUGCCGCGUGAGUGAUGAAGGCCUUAGGGUUGUAAAGCUCUUUUACCGAUGAAGAUAAUGACGGUAGUCGGAGAAAAAGCCCCGGCUAACUUCGU
rnacentral:rRNA from 1 species